CCCACCGGCAACCGGUUUUAACUGGUCAUGUGCGUGGCUGGUGCGGUAAAUAAUUCAAAUUGCCUGGGCGAUUUGGAAACGAAAGGGAUGGCUGGUGCUGUAAAUAAUUCGAAGGGAGGGGGCUUUUUGGGUUGCUUCUCCCCCAUCAGCCCCGAUGCCGGAGCAAGCUGCCGACGAGGUCGGCGCCGGAAAGGUCGUCAUCACGGAGGGUUUCUAUGUCGCCGGAUGUUUAUGGGGCAGCCCUUGAGAGUUCUACCUCAUCCCUUCGUUCUUGCUUCCAACAUUCAUGAGUUCAUGACUGCUGCUUGGUGAAUUAAAAAAAUCCUACCAGUAGACAAUCAUAUGGAUCGGCGACUUCGGGCUCGCCAACCUCUACGAGUACAGGGCCAACCCGAGCGCCAUCCGCAUGGUGGGCACUCUGGGUACCUCGCCGUCGAGCUCACCCAGACAAGCAAGGCCACCACCAGCUUCGGCAACCUCGCCCUUGAGGUGGUCUGCGGCCACUGCCCCCCAAGGCACCUGGUCUGCCUGCCUGUGGCCCGGCGAUGCUGCAACAUGUCCUGCCACUGUUUGAUGAGAUUUCCUAGAAUCUGUUGGAUGUUCGAUUCUCAUCUGGAGAUUAAUGGGGAUGGUGGACAUCUAGAGGAACGCCUGCAUUACAAUCCCUAGUGGAGAGAUCAUAUCUACAUCAAUUCUGGACAUGGGUUGAAGUGAAGUAGAUUUGGCAUGGUCGAGCAACAGCUCUGCCCACAAAUCUGAUGUGGAUUUGGCCAUGUUUAUCUGUUACUUAUUCUAUAUUCUGUUUCUACUUUGACCGGGGGAAGUGCAAGAGAGAGCUUCAGAGCUCUUGAACGUGUAUCCAUGCAGCUUCAAACAGCAGUGUACUCGAACAAACUUGGAAAUGGGUCUUCCUUCUAACAUUUGUUCGACCCAGUCAAGGCUGCUUAAUAUUUUUGACA